UUCAAUUGCAGGCGCAGUCAUGGAGCUGCGGGCUGUACACGUGAGGUAACCGAAUUAACGUUUAAGCGGUCUUGUAAGGCCGUCGGCUUCACGGGGCCAUCCGGAUAGGGUGGCCUUUUACUGUAA
rnacentral:ncRNA from 2 species